AAAUUGAAGAGUUUGAUCAUGGCUCAGAUUGAACGCUGGCGGCAGGCCUAACACAUGCAAGUCGAGCGGUAGCACAGAAGAGCUUGCUCUUUGGGUGACGAGCGGCGGACGGGUGAGUAAUGUCUGGGAAACUGCCUGAUGGAGGGGGAUAACUACUGGAAACGGUAGCUAAUACCGCAUAACCUCGCAAGAGCAAAGAGGGGGACCUUCGGGCCUCUCGCCAUCAGAUGUGCCCAGAUGGGAUUAGCUAGUAGGUGAGGUAAUGGCUCACCUAGGCGACGAUCCCUAGCUGGUCUGAGAGGAUGACCAGCCACACUGGAACUGAGACACGGUCCAGACUCCUACGGGAGGCAGCAGUGGGGAAUAUUGCACAAUGGGCGCAAGCCUGAUGCAGCCAUGCCGCGUGUGUGAAGAAGGCCUUCGGGUUGUAAAGCACUUUCAGCGGGGAGGAAGGCAGUAAGGUUAAUAACCUUGCUGAUUGACGUUACCCGCAGAAGAAGCACCGGCUAACUCCGUGCCAGCAGCCGCGGUAAUACGGAGGGUGCAAGCGUUAAUCGGAAUGACUGGGCGUAAAGCGCACGCAGGCGGUCUGUUAAGUUGGAUGUGAAAUCCCCGGGCUUAACCUGGGAACUGCAUUCAAAACUGACAGGCUAGAGUCUUGUAGAGGGGGGUAGAAUUCCAGGUGUAGCGGUGAAAUGCGUAGAGAUCUGGAGGAAUACCGGUGGCGAAGGCGGCCCCCUGGACAAAGACUGACGCUCAGGUGCGAAAGCGUGGGGAGCAAACAGGAUUAGAUACCCUGGUAGUCCACGCUGUAAACGAUGUCGAUUUGGAGGUUGUGCCCUUGAGGCGUGGCUUCCGGAGCUAACGCGUUAAAUCGACCGCCUGGGGAGUACGGCCGCAAGGUUAAAACUCAAAUGAAUUGACGGGGGCCCGCACAAGCGGUGGAGCAUGUGGUUUAAUUCGAUGCAACGCGAAGAACCUUACCUACUCUUGACAUCCAGAGAACUUAGCAGAGAUGCUUUGGUGCCUUCGGGAACUCUGAGACAGGUGCUGCAUGGCUGUCGUCAGCUCGUGUUGUGAAAUGUUGGGUUAAGUCCCGCAACGAGCGCAACCCUUAUCCUUUGUUGCCAGCGAUUCGGUCGGGAACUCAAAGGAGACUGCCGGUGAUAAACCGGAGGAAGGUGGGGAUGACGUCAAGUCAUCAUGGCCCUUACGAGUAGGGCUACACACGUGCUACAAUGGCGUAUACAAAGAGAAGCGACCUCGCGAGAGCAAGCGGACCUCAUAAAGUACGUCGUAGUCCGGAUUGGAGUCUGCAACUCGACUCCAUGAAGUCGGAAUCGCUAGUAAUCGUAGAUCAGAAUGCUACGGUGAAUACGUUCCCGGGCCUUGUACACACCGCCCGUCACACCAUGGGAGUGGGUUGCAAAAGAAGUAGGUAGCUUAACCUUCGGGAGGGCGCUUACCACUUUGUGAUUCAUGACUGGGGUGAAGUCGUAACAAGGUAACCGUAGGGGAACCUGCGGUUGGAUCACCUCCUUACCAAGAAG
rnacentral:rRNA from 1 species